rnacentral:rRNA from 1 species
UACGUAGGGGGGCAAGCGUUGUCCGGAUUUAUUGGGCGUAAAGAGCGUGUAGGCGGCCAUACAGGUCAGCUGUGAAAACUCGAGGCUCAACCUCGAGACGUCGGUUGAAACCGUUUGGCUAGAGUCCGGAAGAGGAGAGUGGAAUUCCCGGUGUAGCGGUGAAAUGCGCAGAUAUCGGGAAGAACACCCGUGGCGAAGGCGGCUCUCUGGGACGGUACUGACGCGUGAGACGCGAAAGCGUGGGGAGCGAACAGG